rnacentral:rRNA from 1 species
UACGUAGGGUGCGAGCGUUAAUCGGAAUUACUGGGCGUAAAGCGUGCGCAGGCGGUUCGCUAAGACCGAUGUGAAAUCCCCGGGCUUAACCUGGGAACUGCAUUGGUGACUGGCGGGCUAGAGUGUGGCAGAGGGGGGUAGAAUUCCACGUGUAGCAGUGAAAUGCGUAGAGAUGUGGAGGAAUACCGAUGGCGAAGGCAGCCCCCUGGGCUAACACUGACGUUCAUGCACGAAAGCGUGGGGAGCAAACAGG